rnacentral:misc_RNA from 1 species
CCGAGUUCACAACUCCCAAACCCCUGUGAACAUACCACUUGUUGCCUCGGCGGAUCGGCCCGCUCCCGGUAAAACGGGACGGCCCGCCAGAGGACCCCUAAACUCUGUUUCUAUAUGUAACUUCUGAGUAAAACCAUAAAUAAAUCA